GGACGGAUAAGGCGUUUACGCCGCAUCCGGCAGUUGUACGCAGGUGCCUGAUGCGACGCUGGCGCGUCUUAUCAUGCC
rfam:Escherichia coli str. K-12 substr. MG1655, complete genome.